rnacentral:lncRNA from 10 species
GUGGAGGUAGAGGAUGAUUUCAAUUAGAAAUAAUGACAGCAAUAGACGCUUCCAAUGAAGAUAUCGUGGCCACCAAAGGACAAAGGCAAGAAGUUAAUUCCUGAAGUCGAGGAUCUUUCAGUUCCAGUUGUUCCAUCCACGUGUCCAGCUGGUGAUAUCAAAUUGACUAAUCUCUACUGGCUCUCUCCAUCAACAUCUCAAGGGUCGAGCAACCCUAAUCUGAAAAUCCAAAAUCUGAAAUGCUCCAAAAUCUAAAAUGUUUUGAGUGCCGAUAUGAUGCCAGAAGUAGAAAAUUCUACACCUGAUCUCAAGUGACUCAGUAAAAACAAAGAACCUGACAGGAAGCCAGCUGGCAAUGAAGUCUGGGAAAUAUCGUGCCCCAGCAUCACAAGGCAGAGAAUUGAAGAGUGAUAUGGAAUCAAGAGACAAUAAAUGAAUAACUGGCAUAUACACUGUGAAUGUUAGGGCAUGAAUAAAAUUUUGAGACCUCAUUCUAUUGAAAUAAUUAGUAAUGUAAAACACUCACUACAUUUUAAGCCAUUGUAUUUUGGUUAUUUGUUAAUGAUAAAUGGAAGAUAAUAUUUGGUGUUGAAGAGGAUAAGAACUGAUUAAAGAAUGACUUGGUUUACAAAACUUUUAAACUCUUUUCUAUCUCCAGGCAAGAAACUAAUUAAUUGAUUCUUGUACUUAAAAUAUAUUAGUGAAUAAAACAAAUACUUUUCAGUUCUCAUGGAACAGACAACAAUAAGCAUAACAAGAUGUCAGGAUGCAGGAAGAAUAGGAAGCCCUUUCCAACCAGCAGCUGAUUAAACACUGUAUGGGAGAACUGGGAAAUAUGAAAGAUGGCAAAUGAAAUCCUGGCAGAGAGAAUAGUCUAAUCCCAAAGGACAUUCUGAACAAUAGCCUGGGCCCUAUGCCUAGUACUUAGAGGGGCCUAGGGUGAGAGACUCCUGCCCCUCACUGUACUAUUCCCAGAAUCUUAUUUGUUAAUGCUUGGCUUUAUUAAUAAAGUCAUGACCACUUGUUCGGCACUGCAUAUGGCUGGUUGUGAUUUCCAGCUGCCCUUUGGGCUAAAGUGUAAACAGUGAAUAGAUUGUUAUGUUCUUCUAUUAAGCUUAAAGCUGUGAUCUCAUGUCUGUGCCACAUAUGUCUGCAACCAGAAAUAUAUCCUUUUCUCAUGGAAGGGAAGCAGCACUGUGUCUGAAAAGAGUUUGAAUUCAUUAGUCUAAGAGCUUUUUACUUUUUAGUGAAACCAAAGAACAAAAUGAAGGCAUAAAAAAUCAUGAACAUCGUCAACAGGAUGUCAACAUGACACCAAACAGCAUAAUAUAUUGUUAAGACGAGCAUCUAAUCUGGUGACUGAAAUUUCUAUACAUUUGGCAUUUUCACAGAAGACAGAAAUGCAGGCAGCAGUCCAACAAUCCAGUCACAAAGAAAGCCUCAGUGCAUUGGAUUUGAAAUAAGCACAACAGUUUGUCUGAGUGACUGAGAAAAUACCCAUUGAUAGAACUGGCUCCUAAACUCUGGCCUGAUUUCUAAUAUGCUGGUUAAUUAACAUCUAAUUUUUUUUUACUAUGUUGAUCAAGAAUGUUGUUUUUGUGGUUGGUGGGGUUUACAUUAUAGAUAUUAAAAUUGUUUACAUGGUGCAAUGACUGAUAAAACCCUGAAGUUCUAAGCCCUCUAGAAGAGGAAAUUUAUUUAUGAUAAUAAUAAUUACUAUUUUAUACCAUACAAGAUACAUACACACACACGUGCAUGCACACACACAAACACACACACACACACACACAGUACUUCCCUGUUUAUCUGAUGGGGAUGUGUUUCAAGACCCUCAGUGGAUGACUGAAACCACAGAUAGUACUGAACCCUAUCCGUACUCUGUUUUUCUCCUAUACACACAAACCUGUGGUAAAGUUUAAUUUAUAAAUUAGGUACAGUAAGAGAUGAACAACAACAAUAAAAUGGAACAAUAUAACAAUAUACUAUAAUAAAAAUUAUGUGAACGUGUCUCUUAAGUUAUCUUAUUGUGCUAUACUCACCUAUUUUUGGACUUUGGUUGACUCUGGGUAACAGAAACUGCAGAAAGCAAAACUGUGGAUAAUGGCCGAGAUAAAAGUAUGUGUUACUUGUUCUUUAUAAUAGUUCCACAGUAGUACAAUCCCAGUUUUACAGAUGGGAAAAUUGAGGCUUAAAUAAUUUGAACAGCUUGUCAAAAUCGUGGGAUCUGAAUUCAUAUCUAUAGUUAUCUGACUCCAAAGUUUUGAUAUUCCUGCUAUGUCACACUGCCUCUGCCCUUUUCUAACUGGAUUUACAAGAUAGCUUCCUGGCCUCUGAAAUACAUAGUCAUUCUGAG